GGUUGUAGCUCAGUGGUAGAGCGCUUCCCUUGCACGCAUGAGGUCUAGGGUUCGAUCCUCAGCACCA
rnacentral:tRNA from 1 species